GACGAACGCUGGCGGCGUGCUUAACACAUGCAAGUCGAACGCUGAAGCUCAGCUUGCUGGGUGGAUGAGUGGCGAACGGGUGAGUAACACGUGAGUAACCUGCCCUCUUCUUUGGGAUAACGCCCGGAAACGGGUGCUAAUACUGAAUAUUCACUGAUUCUCGCAUGGGGGUUGGUGGAAAGGUUUUUUCUGGUGGGGGAUGGGCUCGCGGCCUAUCAGCUUGUUGGUGGGGUGAUGGCCUACCAAGGCUUUGACGGGUAGCCGGCCUGAGAGGGUGACCGGUCACAUUGGGACUGAGAUACGGCCCAGACUCCUACGGGAGGCAGCAGUGGGGAAUAUUGCACAAUGGGCGAAAGCCUGAUGCAGCGACGCCGCGUGAGGGAUGGAGGCCUUCGGGUUGUAAACCUCUUUCGCUCAUGGUCAAGCCGCAGCUUUGGGUUGUGGUGAGGGUAGUGGGUAAAGAAGCGCCGGCUAACUACGUG
rnacentral:rRNA from 1 species